CCCCGCGCUCGGCGCCGGCCGCGCCAUGGGGGAGGGGCGGGGCGGGCCGCGCGAGACCCGGGAAACAUGGCUGCUCGUCCUAUUUCGGCGUCGCGGCGUGGCCACCAGCCCCCGGAUCCGAGUUGGGAGAGGCUCCGAAGAGGCUCCCGCGCCGGCGGAAUUCAAUCAAUAAACCCCGAACCCACGGCCGCGCGUUUUAGGACUUUGAAGGCUCAACCAGCUCCGCUCGGUUCUCGAGCCCCCAGCACCCGCGGCGCACACUAACCUGAUCACGGUGGAGGCGGGACCUGCGGGCCGGCGGAUGAGCGGCAACAGCUGGAGCCAAUCGCCGCCGAGGGUCUCCGGGCAACAGCCAAUGGUGGCAGCGGCGGGGGGGGAAGGGACCAAUGGGCGGGCUGCGCAGCCGGCCAGGGAGGCUCAGCCAUUUGGUUGUGGUGCCGGAGACGGACCCCUUUAGAUUUCGGGGCGGCUGAGGAGCGCGGCGGCUGCUUGGUGGCUGAGCUAGGGGGGUGGGCAGAAUGGCGGGGGAAGGGAAGGUGACUGCGCCUCGAGAGCCUAGCCGCUCGGCCUCGCCAGCCCGCCGCCGCCGCCUCAGCGUUUGGCCGGGGGCGGGGCCGCAGGUGCGUUACUCGAGGGGGAGGGGCGCGGCCGGAGGGGUCGGGGUCGGGAUCCUCGCAGGGCCGAGGGCUUCGCGGGGACGCCCUGGGCCUGCCCGCCUCGCUGGAGCGGGUUGGUGAAAGAGGUGGACGUCCGGCGCGAGGUCUCGGGGCCGCGGGCUGCCCCGCGGGCGGGCUGAUGAAAGGCCUGGAAAGAGGGGGGAGGGGUCAAGGGUGCAGUGGGAGGAGGGGCUGGUCAUUUUCUGGGUCCGGAGGGCCGCGCGGUGGAGCGUGGCUGCUGCCCUCCACCCCCUCCGCGGGUUCCCACCCCCCCCCCCGGCUGCGGCUCACAGCCCGCGCGCCCCUUCGCCUCCCGCCUCGUCCUCGUCCAGCCGCGGCCAUCGCCGCCCCUCUAAUAAACAAGUAAAUGAAAGCAAGAUGCGUCCACCUUUGGAUGACUUUCCUCGCGGUCUUGACCCUCUCUACGGAGGGGCCUUUCAAUUUGCUGUCAUGUAAGGUCAGCCUGGAAGGAGCGAUCACCAAGAGGCACCCAGGAUCUUGUUCAGCCAAUAAAUGAAUGGAGACCAUGGAUUAAGAGUUGUUGCUGAAUAUACUGAAUAUUAAAAAAAAAAAAAAAAAGUGAAAAGGGAAGGUGCUAAUAACUUCUGGUUUUCUGGUCCAAACAUAAUUUGAUGGGCUUUGUAGACCUAGUGAAAGGAAACGGCGCACAGUUUAUUCUAAUCGUCCACCUGACUCAUUUGGUUCAAUUUGGGUUGCCAAAGAGGCUCUAUUUGGAGCACUUUCUCCAGGUUUUACGGUUUGCUUGCUUUGGGUUUUUUGUUUUGUUUUGUUUUGUUUUGUUCUGUUUUGUUCAUCACAUUAGUUUUUAGACCUUAAAGCCUUCAUCCCCACUGGGUUACCUACUUCUUAUGGCCAGGCCUUGGACCUUGUCAUGUACUAGGUUGGCUGCCUAUGGCUGUUAAUAAAUCAUGGGAAUUGUUGUCAACAAGGACGGAUCCAUCGUUACCCUUCCACACAAGUGUUUUUCAGUGCUUCUAUUUCUGUGUGUCUACACUUUUCCUUAUACACGCCAAGGUGGUUUUUAGGUGGGGAUACAUUGUAUUUUAUUUUUCAGGCACAUGGGUUCAAGGGAGCGAUAAAGCAGUAUGUAUGUUGCAAAUUUGAAAUAUUGUUACAUAACACCAAUACAGUUUCAUUCUUGAGCAUAUAAAGUUGAGGAGGAAAUAGAAAGUGACGGAAUGUAAAUAAAACGCAGAGAAUGCUCACACUGGGGAAGAAACUGUAGUAACUCUGAUACUGUAACCUGAUGGAUUGUAAACUUAAAAUCCUACAGCCAAGCAUUUUACUCGGUAAAUUUUUCUUUCAGAUAAAAUAAUAAGUGGAAUUUGAAAAGUGAUAAUGUUUACCCUGAGUAGCUGGGAAAUCCAAAAUAAAAAUGGAAAGCCAUUGUUUUAUUUCAUCAGGGUAGUAGCGUGUAAUGUAUUUGACUUGUUGACUUAGCCCACAUGUUUGUCUUCCUCAGUUUUUAUAAUCUCGUUGAACUCAGUUUGUGUAGUUGGAAUUUAUUUAUUUUAAAACUGUAUUGGCUUUGUUAUAGGACAUACAGGGACCCUAAAUUACCUCUCUUUGCCAGAGUCAGUUGUUAUUUCUGGAUAUAGCAUUUAAGGUGGUUUCGAAACAGCUUUUCCUCACAUACAUUAAGUCAAUAUGAUGUGUAGAAGAUAUGUAACAGAGGAGUACUGAAGGUUAUGUUCUAUUUGAUGGUAAAUGCUUGUCUUCAAUUUGAAUUUUUGACCACAGUUAAGUCCACACUGCUAGCAAUGUGAUAGGGAAACAGGGCCUUUCCAGAGGACUAAUCCUUUAAAAGCCAACCAAUCAAAUGCAGAGAUGUUCCCUUAUCCAGCUCUGCUAAACAGAAGCAAAUAGCUCACCUUGUCACACAAAGAUUGCAGAAGAUGACUUGGAAGCCUAAACCCCCGUGAAAGAGAGUUACAGGACAAAUUAAGGUUACAAUUGAAAAAAAUUGUAGUUUGGUCACUAAGUCAAAAUAUCAAGCAACAAUUGUUUUUAGAAGGAUCUUUUAAACAUUUUGAUAGCAGAUUUUGUAUUGGUGUCAGAAAAUUGAAAGAAGGCUUCACUAGAUUCCAAUCGUACAGAAGUUGAAAUAUCCAAAAAGUAUAUAUAACCAAUUGAAUACUUAACUUCCCAUAUUCCAACAUACUUUUUUUAAACGAUUUUUUUUUUUAAGUAAUCUCUAUACCCAACAUGGGCUCUAACAACCCCAAGAUCAAGAGACACUUGCUCUCCCACUGAGCCAGCCAGGUGCCCCUCCAACAUACUUUGAAAGGACAGACUUCCUCUCACUUCCACAAAUAGAUUUGUUUGUAGUUUAUUUCUAAGAAAAUUUUAAUGAUUCUGACUUUUUCUUACCAAAAGGAAAUGGAAAUUUCACUCUAAAGCUGAGCCAUUUACCCCAUGCCACUUGACAAAAAAAAAAAAAAAAGAACUCUUAAUAUUCCUUAUUUUAUGGAGUUGUUUCUUAAAUUACAUUUCAUUGCAUAAUAUAGUAUUAAACAAACGCUCUGAAUGAUUCUGAAUAUCAGAAGAUAGAGUAAGAAAAGCGCAUUCUAUAGUGGGAGUUUGGUUAUAAAAGUUGCAGUCUGUAACUUCUGGAGCUGGAUUUGAUUCACACUGAGAAGAAUAAAUGAGCUAGAAAGUUGGCCUUCAAGUAAGGAAAGAUGUCUUCCUGCCUUCCAGGAUAUUCUAGAAUGUUUUUCCUUCAAGAACCAUUCCAAAUAGAUGAGCACCCUAUGUUCUCUAAGAGGUCUGAUCUGAGCAAUGGAUGUCUUAGCUUCUUGAUACAUGUUGGAAAGUACUGUUUUAUAAAUAACCCACAGUGAGGCUGCCGCCGUGUAAGCUCAUUUGCCCUUGCUUGGUGUCCAAAGAUGGAGGCCCUCUGGUUAGCAUUCUUUUUAGGAGUUGAACGAAUGUAUUCACAGGUCAACUUUUCGUUCUUCAGCCCGAAUCACAUACAUUGGAACCUGGCCAUUGUACUUUUUCACCUACAUCAUGGUUCUGCUGCCUGGACCCCAAAAGACAAUGAUAUGGAAAGACUCCAGCUUAAUUAUGUUCUCUUUUGUCUUUCUAUAUAAAUAGCUUUUAGAAAUGUAGAUUAUUCUUUUGAAAUCCAUGGUAACAAAUGUGAAGACUACUGCAUUUUGGUUUGAAUAGCAAAAGACUGUUGAGGUCCAGGAUCUAAAAAGUUAACUAUUAAUUCUUUUGCUUAAUAAAGCAUUGAGUGGUUUUAUUUUUUAAAUUAUUGAAUAGUUACUUUUUCAAUGAGUUGGGCAUAGAGAAAAAGCACUGCUAGAUGAAAAGUCAUCCCAUGUGAUUUUUAAAAUUAAAUUAAUAGUAAAAAUUUUAAAGCCACCUUAAGGAUGCUUUAUUUUGAAAAGGAAAAAAAAAAAUCAACAUCACCUGCACACUAGUUUGGAAAUCACUAGAGUUUUUUUGAAUCCGAUUCUUAAAUAUAUUUAUUAAAGAUAAUUCAGGGGUUGCAAUAAGAGAAAGUUGAUUACCGUUCACCAAGAACACCAGAACUAUAAGCUCUGGCAUCUGGUAUUAAAAUAUGACUAAAAAUAGAUGCCUUAAAGGCAAAUAAUGGAAUGAGAAGCCAUUAGAACAAGACUGUGACUAAGGGUAAGCUAGGCUGAAAAAACAGAAAUGCAAUUAAUUUCAAACUUACUAUUUGUUUUAUUUUAUUUUUUUCCUUAAGUAGACUGCAUGCCCAGUGCUGAGCCCAACAUGGGCCUUGAACACACAACCCUGGGAUCAAGACCUGAGCUGAGAUCAAGAGUCAGAUGCUUAAUCUACUGAGCCACCCAGGCACCCCCCUACUCAUUUGUUUUAAUCUAUCUGCAGUUGAAGUUUGCCACUGAAGAAAAAGGUUCCCACCCAAGGAUUGAAUUGUCUUAAAAGCAAUUCGUAAGAGAGAUGGGAAUGACAGAGCUCACUAACUCUAAUUUUGUGUCUAUGCCAAUUUUAAAGAGGAUACACAAUUUUCCUUCCUUUGGGUUUUGCAUUCUUCAAAAAGCAAGAAGGAAUGAGAUGGCAAAGCUCAACGAUGUGAAACCAUGAAACUCCUAGAAGAAAACAUAACGGGUAAACUCCUUGACAUUGGUCUUGACAAUGACUUUUUGGAUGUGACACCAAAAGCAAAAGCGACCAAAGCAAAAAUAAAUAGGUGGGACUAC